GAAAUGCGAUAAGUAAUGUGAAUUGCAGAAUUCAGUGAAUCAUCGAAUCUUUGAACGCACCUUGCGCUCCUUGGUAUUCCUUGGAGCAUGCCUGUUUGAGUAUCAUGAAAUCUUCAAAGUAAAUCUUUUGUUAACUCAAUUGGUUUCUACUUUGGUAUUGGAGGUCUUUGCAGCUUCACACCUGCUCCUCUUUGUUCAUUCGCUGGAUCUCAGUGUUAUGCUUGGUUCCACUCGGCGUGAUAAGUUAUCUAUCGCUGAGGACACUGUAAAAGGUGGCCAAGGUAAAUGCAGAUGAACCGCUUCUAAUAGUCCAUUGACUUGGACAAUACUUUUAUGAUCUGAUCUCAAAUCAGGUAGGACUACCCGCUGAACUUAAGC
rnacentral:misc_RNA from 1 species